rnacentral:rRNA from 1 species
UUUAUAUGCUCUGUAAUUGGAAUGAUGGGAAUGUAAAACCCUUCCAGAGUAACAAUUGGAGGGCAAGUCUGGUGCCAGCAGCCGCGGUAAUUCCAGCUCCAAUAGUGUAUAUUAGAGUUGUUGCAGUUAAAAAGCUCGUAGUUGGAUUUCUGCUGUGGUCAUCCGGUACCGCCCGUAUGGGUGCGCACCUGGUUUGGCUCCGUCUUUCUUCCUGUAGCCGUCCGCGCUUAAUUGCGUGUACUGUGUUACGGAACUUUUACUUUGAGAAAAAUAGAGUGUUUCAAGCAGGCUUGUCGCCCUGAAUACUUCAGCAUGGAAUAAUAGGAUAGGACCUUGGUUCUAUUUUGUUGGUUUCUAGGACCAAGGUAAUGAUUAAUAGGGACAGUGGGGGGGGCAUA